CGGCGGACGGGUGAGUAACACGUGGAUAACCUACCUAUAAGACUGGGAUAACUUCGGGAAACCGGAGCUAAUACCGGAUAAUAUAUUGAACCGCAUGGUUCAAUAGUGAAAGACGGUUUUGCUGUCACUUAUAGAUAGAUCCGCGCCGCAUUAGCUAGUUGGUAAGGUAACGGCUUACCAAGGCAACGAUGCGUAGCCGACCUGAGAGGGUGAUCGGCCACACUGGAACUGAGACACGGUCCAG
rnacentral:rRNA from 1 species